rnacentral:lncRNA from 1 species
UUACUUCACUUUUCAGGUUGAAUGCCAAAGAAAUAUUGGAGCUUUUGAGAGGAAAGCGAUUAGUCUAUGUCGGUGACUCUCUGAAAAGGAUAUGUGGGAAUCAAUGCAUGGUUUGUCUGCUCAGAAAUUCUGUUGAAGACAAGAAUAGAGUUUUUGAGGUAUCUGGAAGAGAGACUUUCUAAAAAGAGGGUGCUUAUUCUUUUAUAUUCGCAGUAAGUUUCAUAAUUUCACUUGUCUUCUGUUCCCACUAAUGUCAAAAUUAUCCAAAAAACUAUUCUUACAUCUUAGUAAAUGGGGGUGAAAGGACUGGUGGAUGAGGAGAGAGUACAAGGUUAAGGAUGUAUCUAUUGUAGAUGGUGCAUCUACAUUGCCUGAAGCAAAGUUUUGGAAAUUAACAAUCUAACGGAACAAUGAAGACAAAGGUAAUGGUACAUCAUUACAGGUUCUUCUCCAAGACCUGUACAUGAUGCAUCUAAAUUGCUCGAUAAAAUAAGUCAAUUAGGCAAAGUGACUAAGCUGACUUAACAAAUAAGACGUCUUGCAUUAUAUGUCAUACAAUAAACUGUUCAUAUGACUGUCAAACUAAAACUUUCACAUUCUUCCUAGGUUUGCUGAAGUCUAAUAUAGAAUAUGCCAUAAGAGAGAUUUAGCUUACAAACACCGACUCCGCAAUAACAAAUUAAACUCAGAUACUCUCUAGUGUCAGGGUUGUGACAGAAGCUACAACUACCCAACUAGAAUUACUAGCACAGUUAUGUCAAGAUCAUCCAAUCAACUACUACAUCUCAGAUCCAAACUAUUUGGUGAAUGAAUUAGAAGUCUAGAACAUAGAGUAACUGGAUGAGGCAUUGUUGCAGAUAUUCAUCCAGAAUCUAACUGAAAGACUCAAUAUGCGCAUAACAUCUUGCAUAGAGAUAUACAAUAAAAUUUAAUCCUCUUUCUAGAGUUGUAAGCAUUUACUCUACUCCUACUUGGCUACUUGUUAACUGGAAAAAAAUCACACACCCCUAUUUAAUUUGUAACUAGAUCCUUAUUAUAUAGUGGUUUGUUUAUUUUUACAACAACAAAAGCAUAUCCGGUGCAAUCUCAUAAGUUGGGUUUUACAACAACAAAAACCAUAGUCUCCCGAUCCUAUGACUGCCUAAAAAUCAUAAUCAUGUCGUGUAAGACCUAAUAAGCAUGAUCAACUAAGAACUAAACAACAGAAUAUGCAGUCGACUGAUAGGAAAAAUAAUACAACAUCACAGAUAGACUCAAGGCAGCAUCAUUACCAAGAAGAAGAGCCAAAUCAGCAGGAAUAACAGUGGCAAAUUCAAAAAAAGAAGAAUAACAAAAACAAUACAAACAAUGAGAGACCUAAGAAACCUCAAGAACAGAUGGAUCUGGCAGAUUCCCAGAAAAGUCACAGUCAUACAGGUAAAAAUAUUAUUACUCAUAACUCUUGUAUUGAUCUUAUUGAACCAGAUCAGUCAAUAGUCCAGGCAAAAAUCAUCAUGAAGACAAGGCACCGACUGGGAAAACAUAGGCCAAAGUCAAACUAUAGGAGGGAGAGCGUGCGGGAAUUGCGGUAGGUACCACUGUCAUGCUUAACAUACUAAUAGCAGGGUAAUUAGCUGCAACUAUUGUUCUGUUUCAACUGUAGCCAAUAGCCAUGUGGUGUUCAUUUUUACAUCUUGGACUGUUCAUCAAGUUUCUAUUGCUCCUUUAAUAAUUCGACAGAUCAUGUAUUCUUAUGUAAGCAUAUGAAUAUUAAUUAAGAGCCAAGACGUUUUUGUCCUCUGGACUUUCUUUCAGACUAGUGACAUAUCAUCUAACAAGUAAUAAUAAUCCUUUUUUGGGCUAAACCUUAGUCUCCCGAUCUUAUGACUGCCUAAAAAUCAUAAUCAUGUCGUGUAAGACCUAAUAAGGGUGAUCAACUAAGAACUAAAC